UUUUUUUUGCAAAGGGCCGAAUCUACAUGGGGCGAGAUUACAAUAAGUCGGCCAGGGCGAAGGAUAAGAGUGGGGCGUUCACCACAUGGCCUUUGGGCCACCCUGGUGCGGGGCUUGGAUCGCGGGGUGAGCGACUAGCACGCGAUGCGGCUGGAUGUGGCGCUUGGGACAGGUCGCAGCUGGGCUUGGCGAUGCCCACACGGCUGUCAUACAUGGGCGAUGGCAUGGUUG
rnacentral:lncRNA from 1 species